GAAUGAACGCUGGCGGCAUGGAUUAGGCAUGCAAGUCGAACGGGAUGGCCCUCGGGUCAUCUAGUGGCGAAAGGGUGAGUAACACGUGAGCAACCUGCCCCCGAGUUCCGAAUAAGCAGUGGAAACGCUGUGUAAUGCGGGAUGUGGAGCACCUGUCACCUGACUGGUGCUGCAAAGAUUUAUCGCUCGGGGAUGGGCUCGCGUCCCAUUAGCUAGUUGGUGGGGUAAUGGCCCACCAAGGCUACGACGGGUAGGUGGACUGAGAGGUCGGUCACCCACACUGGGACUGAGACACUGCCCAGACUCCUACGGGAGGCUGCAGUCGAGAAUCUUCCGCAAUGGGCGCAAGCCUGACGGAGCGAUGCCGCGUGAGGGAAGAAGGCCUUCGGGUUGUAAACCUCUGUCGCCUGGGACGAAAACAAUGACGGUACCAGGAGAGGAAGUCACGGCUAACUACGUGCCAGCAGCCGCGGUAACACGUAGGUGGCGAGCGUUAUUCGGAUUCACUGGGCGUAAAGGGUCCGCAGGGGGCCUGGCAAGUCUGCCGUGAAAUUCCAGGGCUCAACCCUGGACGUGCGUUGGAAACUGCCGGGCUUGAGUUUAUGAUGGGCAGACGGAACACCUGGUGUAGCGGUGGAAUGCGUGGAUAUCAGGUGGAACCCCGAUGGCGAAGGCGGUCUGCUGGCAUAAUACUGACCCUCAGGGACGAAAGCGUGGGUAGCAAACAGGAUUAGAUACCCUGGUAGUCCACGCCGUAAACGUUGAGAACUAGAUGUGGGCGGGCUGGCCCCGUUCGUGUCCAAGCAAACGCGAUAAGUUCUCCGCCUGGGGACUACGGCCGCAAGGCUAAAACUCAAAGGAAUUGACGGGGGCCCGCACAAGCGGUGGAGCAUGUUGCUUAAUUCGAGGCAACGCGAAGAACUUUACCCGGGUUUGACAUGCACAGGACGUUCCGUGAAAGCGGAAUUCCCUUCGGGGUCUGUGCACAGAUGCUGCAUGGCUGUCGUCAGCUCGUGCCGUGAGGUGUUCGGUUAAGUCCGGCAACGAGCGCAACCCGUGCCGUCAGUUGCCAGCAGGUAAUGCUGGGCACUCUGGCGGGACUGCCCGUGUCAAGCGGGAGGAAGGCGCGGAUGACGUCAAGUCCGUAUGGCUCUUACGCCCGGGGCUGCAAACGUGCUACAAUGGCCGGUACAGUGGGAUGCGAGUCCGCGAGGACGAGCGGAUCCUCAAAACCGGCCCCAGUUCGGAUCGCAGUCUGCAACCCGACUGCGUGAAGUCGGAAUCGCUAGUAAAGGGGCAUCAGCAACGGCCCCUUGAAUACGUUCCCGGGCCU
rnacentral:rRNA from 1 species